rnacentral:rRNA from 1 species
UACGGAGGGUGCAAGCGUUAUCCGGAUUCACUGGGUUUAAAGGGUGCGUAGGUGGCCGGUUAAGUCUGACGUGAAAUCUCCGAGCCUAACUCGGAAACUGCAUCGGAAACUAUCCGGCUCGAGGGUUGGAGGGGGGACUGGAAUACUUGGUGUAGCAGUGAAAUGCGUAGAUAUCAAGUGGAACACCAGUGGCGAAGGCGAGUCCCUGGACAACUCCUGACACUGAGGCACGAAAGCUAGGGGAGCAAACAGG